AGUGAACGCUGGCGGUAGGCCUAACACAUGCAAGUCGAACGGCAGCACAGUAAGAGCUUGCUCUUACGGGUGGCGAGUGGCGGACGGGUGAGGAAUACAUCGGAAUCUACUUUUUCGUGGGGGAUAACGUAGGGAAACUUACGCUAAUACCGCAUACGACCUACGGGUGAAGGCAGGGGAUCUUCGGACCUUGCGCGAUUGAAUGAGCCGAUGUCGGAUUAGCUAGUUGGCGGGGUAAAGGCCCACCAAGGCGACGAUCCGUAGCUGGUCUGAGAGGAUGAUCAGCCACACUGGAACUGAGACACGGUCCAGACUCCUACGGGAGGCAGCAGUGGGGAAUAUUGGACAAUGGGCGCAAGCCUGAUCCAGCCAUACCGCGUGGGUGAAGAAGGCCUUCGGGUUGUAAAGCCCUUUUGUUGGGAAAGAAAAGCAGCAGGCUAAUACCCCGCUGUUCUGACGGUACCCAAAGAAUAAGCACCGGCUAACUUCGUG
rnacentral:rRNA from 1 species